rnacentral:rRNA from 1 species
AGUGAACGCUGGCGGUAGGCCUAACACAUGCAAGUCGAACGGCAGCACAGUAAGAGCUUGCUCUUACGGGUGGCGAGUGGCGGACGGGUGAGGAAUACAUCGGAAUCUACUUUUUCGUGGGGGAUAACGUAGGGAAACUUACGCUAAUACCGCAUACGACCUACGGGUGAAAGCAGGGGAUCUUCGGACCUUGCGCGAUUGAAUGAGCCGAUGUCGGAUUAGCUAGUUGGCGGGGUAAGGGCCCACCAAGGCGACGAUCCGUAGCUGGUCUGAGAGGAUGAUCAGCCACACUGGAACUGAGACACGGUCCAGACUCCUACGGGAGGCAGCAGUGGGGAAUAUUGGACAAUGGGCGCAAGCCUGAUCCAGCCAUACCGCGUGGGUGAAGAAGGCCUUCGGGUUGUAAGGCCCUUUUGUUGGGAAAGAAAAGCAGCAGGUUAAUACCCCGCUGUUCUGACGGUACCCAAAGAAUAAGCACCGGCUAACUUCGUG